CUCUGCGAAGUGCGCGUAUGCAACAAUGCAAUUUUUUACAACUUUGGCAACGGGUAGAGUCUACAAAAAUGUGUCUACUCUGUUCGUAAAAUAUUAUAGUUUUGCGAACAGAAAAAUGUUUAAUCGAUGAGAAAAUGUGCAGAAUGUCGGACAAAAGCCAUCUCGUUCCAUCUUCUCCCACUACCGGCUAAUGGGCUUCCUCUCAAGUGGGUGGAACCGCCAAGCGGAUGCUUCACAUUUAUACAUCCGGUGAAAUAGCUGUCUCAUUGUUCUGUCUGUGGUAAGACUUUAUGGGCAGGUCUCGAGAGUAUGUAGAAAGUUAUGUCCUAUUUGUUUGUUUUUCCUCGUGUUUUCAUGGACCUGCAAAUGCAUCAAUAGGCAACCAGUAUCCCAAAUGGACCAUUUAAAACUGGUUAUUUAAAGAUAAUCUAUUAUAGCCAACACCCAGAGGUAGAGAGAAUGAGGGCCAACUCCUUUCAGUUCACUCUGGAGGGAGAGCCCUUUCACAUCCUGGGGGGCUCUAUCCACUACUUCCGUGUCCCCAGAGCCUACUGGGAGGACCGGCUGCUGAAGAUGAGGGCCUGUGGGGUCAACACUCUCACCACAUAUGUGCCAUGGAACCUGCAUGAGCAAAAGAGAGGGAUUUUAAAGGCGUACAUCAGGCUAGCAGCAGAGUUGGGGCUCUGGGUGAUUCUGCGGCCAGGACCCUACAUCUGUGCUGAGUGGGACUUAGGAGGGAUGCCCAAGUUAGAUGUUCCCAGAUUUUAACAUUUUAGCCCAGUUGGUUGCUGCGUGAUCCAGACAUGAAGUUGAGAACAACCUACCCAGGUUUCACAGAAGCAGUUGACUCCUUCUUUGAUCAACUCAUUCCAAGAGUUGCACCAUAUCAGGCACUAUUGUCCAGGGGGAUUGAGGAACUGCUCCUGACCUCAGAUAACCAGGAUGGGCUGAAGCACGGGGGAGUGAAUGGAGCCCCAGAAGUUCAAGAUGGUGAUGGAGUAUUGGUCUGGGUGGUUUGACCUCUGGGGUGACCUUCACCAUGUUUUUGCUGCAGAGGAUGCAGCUUCAGGCUCAGCAGCCCUGUCUCCCCAUCCCCAUACCUCUGAACCAGCCCUACUUCCAACUGAAGGAGGUGAGCAGCAUUGUGUUGAAUGACAUGUCAGUUUGCAUAAUUGCAGGUACUGCAAUGCAUUGAGGACAGGAAUGUGAUUCUCCAGUCAGGAAAAAUCUCACUUGACACAGAGGCAGCCAAUAUUAGAGACUUAAAGGAAGAGAUGCAGGCUCUUAGAGAUGGAUGGGAGUCUCUCCUGUCUGAGGCAACACUGAUUGCUACGCAAAUGGAUGUUCCACCUCAAUUUAGCAAGGAACACAGCCGCCAGAGGAAAAGGAAGAGAUUCCAUGAUGAGACCUCUGAAGAGGAGACAGCUCAGGACAGUGCAGCAACGGUGUUUCGGAACAGUGUUUUUUACUGCUAUGGACAACAUAAGUGACUUGGACACUAGGUUCCACACCACUGUAAAAAUUGUUGAAGAAUUUUCUGUUCUGAAAGUUGGGCAGAUUAGUGAGGAUAAAGUCCCUUCUGUGUGCCAAACACUGAUCAUGAAGUAUUCCAGAGAUCUUACACCUGAGUUUCAAAAUGAAGUAAGACACCUGAACACUGUAUGCUGCAACUUUCCCCCCUAACUUGUCCCCUCUUGGUCUCCUGAAUGCAAUUUGUAAGAUGCAGCUGCAAAGCAUUUUUGGAGAAGUGUGCAUUGCUUUACUUAUAUUUUGCACACUGCCUGUGACUGCUGGUGGCGAGAGAACUUUCAGUAAGCUUAAACUGGAACUAUUUGAGGUCCAGUAUGUCCAAGGACAGGCUUUGCGGUCCAUUGAAAGUCAGUUAGCUAGAAAGCUGGACUUCAAAGACUUGAUCAGUGACGUUGCUAGCAAGAAGGCUUGGCGCUGGGCUCUUGGUGAGUAAGGCUGAGCAAGGCCCAGUGAUAAAUGUUAAAUGGCAUGGCUAUGGAUAUUGGAUCACUACACAUAUGAUGCCCACAGGCUGAGAACAAGAUAUAUCUCAAAGUAAUGGCUGGAUUGCCAUAACAAUUGUUGUGCACAAUCAAGACCCCAAGUGGAAGACACCUAUUGAUUUGGUGACCACUUGACCUUUCCUCUAGCGCCACCAUCAGGCCUUUUCAUUUCCAUUUCGUUUUCAAUUUCCACUUUUACAGCUGCUUAUUUUCUAGUUGGUAUGUAUACUUAGUUUAAAAAUCUGCUGCUGAUUUAAUUUUGUUUGUUAUAUCAUUCUAUAGAUGAUUAAUGUUAAUUUAUUUUAAUUGAGGAGUUUAAUAUAUAUUUAAGUUAUAUUUGUUUUAAGUUAUUCAUUAUUAAGAGAAUUUUAAGUCAUUCAUGUUAAGAGAAUUUUCAAUUCAAGAAUUUUACCAUUACAAUUACAAUUAGACUGUAAAAGGCCUUUAGCACAUUUCUUAUAGAGGUUAUCAGUCUUGCAUCAAAUAGUGAAUUCCACUGUAUGCAGAAUGUUGCAUGCAUGUCUGCACAGUGUUAUAUUUUCACAGCUCACUGUCAGUAAAUAUCAUACAGUAAAUAUUGGACUACAAGAGAGUUGCAAGCCUGCAAAGGUAGUUAUUUAAAGCUUUGAAUGGGUCGAUUGGGUUCUGGAGGUGUGUGGUUACAGCAAUUGCGCAGGGUUGGUGUGGCCUGUUGUGGUGUGGCCCAAUGUGAUAUAUUUUCAAGGGGCCCAAAAUCCCUGGCGGCGCCCCUGCUCAGGUGAGAAGCUUCCUGAGGUUUCCUCUCUCCAGGCCAGGAGAGUGUAUGAGCCUGUCAUCAUUCAGCAGCAUCUGUCACUAUGGGAGAGCGUGCAGUUUACUGAGAAGUCAAAAAGCAGUCAACAUGGAGAACCUUCCUGUCAACAAUAGCAAUGGUCAGUCCUAUGACUACACUUGAUAUGAGACCACCAUCAGCAGUGGAGACCUUCUGAACUCCAGGAACAAUGUUAAAGACAGAGCCCUGGUGUUUGUGGACUAACUCUUUGUUGGAGUUCUGGACUAUAAGAUGCUGGAGUUUGCACUGCCUGAUGGGAAGGUGUAGUGAUAGUGUGUUUCGGGCGACAGGUAGCCUAGCGGUUAUAGUGUUGGGCCAGUAACCGAAAGGUUGCUGGUUUCGAAUACCUGAGCUGACAAGGUGAAAAAUCUGAUGUGCCCUUGAGCAAGGCAAUUAUUCCUAAUUUGCUCAAGGGGCACCAUACUACUAUGGCUGUCUCUGUAAAACAACACAUUUCACUGCAGCUAUCCGGUGUAUGUGACAAUAACCCAUUAUUUUAUUCUAUUCAGUCUAUAGGUGUGCUGCUGAGCUGCUUUCUAAACUGGCUAGUUUAUAUUCAACACCGUGAUAGAGGUGAAAGCUUCUGGUGAUGCUGAUCAAUGAGUGUGUUACUAAGGUGCCAGGAUUAAGCCAACAAAGUUUUCAGACAAAUGUUGUUCUAACAAAGAAGAAUCGUAAUCACUAACUUUGCACCUGCCUGUUAUUGGAAAACAAGUCCAUGCUGUCCUAUAGCACAGCAGCAGAUUGGACUUGAUCAAUUAUUAUCUUCAGUUCAACUGAAAGCCACAUUUCCUCUACUGUCUCUAGUUAGUCUACUUUGCAUUGUGGACUGUAGAUAGUACGUCCAAUUGUUUCCACAUAUUUCAUGUACUUUCCAUUGAAGGGGGAGAGGACAUUGAGUUUACAUGUGGAGAACUCUGGGAGAGUGAACUGUGGUAAACUCCUAGAUGAACAGCGUAAAGGUCUUGUCGGAGACAUUGAGUUGAACAAUAACCCGCUAUGAGGCUUUAUCAUUCAUAGUCUGGGUAUGAAGCCUGGCUUUGUAAAUAGACUGAGUGCAGCAAGCCAGUGGAACUCUGUCUCCCAGAGGCCUUCCUUCCUUCCCAGGGUUCUUACAGGGCAUGCUGUAUGUGGGUGGCCAUCCCAGAGACACGUUCAUCAGACUGCCUGGCUGGAGUAAAGGAGUGGUCUUUAUCAACGGGCAGAAUCUGUGACGCCACUGGUCCAUCGGUCCCCAGCAAACCCUCUACCUCCCUGGACCUUGGCUUAACUGAGGAAACAAUCAGAUACUGAUGCCGUAACUGAUACUGCCUUUCUGUCUAACUAGUUCCCUGGAAAAACACCCUACACAGGAGUUCACUCAGAUGCCUCUGUUAGGAACAUCAAGGGUCAAUAGUUUUUAUAUACAGCUACAGCGGCUGGGCCACCCCGUGGGUUUGAUGAUAUUGAACUUGGCAGUGCUUUGCGGGAAUAGUCCUCAGGCGACUUCUCUUCCCUCUGAACGUGUUGGUUCCACGCCUCGGCUGUAUUGACCUCUGCUGUGUUUCAAAGCCUUUUGUUGAUCUCAGGUCAUUGUGUUUGAGGAGCUAGAAGCUGAUGGUAAAAUCCAAUUCGCCAGCAAGCCUGACCUUGGAAUGACUGUUGACGUAUAGUGAGGAUGGCCUAGUGGAAUGGAGGUAUGGUUAGGAGUUCCAUCCUCUCACAUUUUCACACACUGCCUGCCAUCAGGGACCUAGCUAGAUAGCUACUCAGAAUCGAUGCACAUCACUGCACAUGGCAUUUAUUUCCUGUGGGGAAGCCCCACCCUCUGAAUGAUCCAGACUAAUAAAGCAUCCUACUAGAGCUUGUAAAUUUAACUGUGCCUUCAUUAUAUAUGAUGGGCAACUGCAGUAUCUGUACAGCAAUAUCUGUUUUGUACUUGUUGUUUGUGCAUUACCAUUCCAUAUGUGUAUUGUGAGAAUUGUGUCAGAGAUACUAAUUUGGAGAUUUCAGGUAUUUUAAUGUAUAGGUGUUUGUCCGGAUUCAAGGACACAUCUACUUGACAUUGUAUUUCUUUGAAUGGACAAUUAAAACAAAUACACAGAUUGUUCUUUUGAGAUUAACCGGUGACGUGUGAUGGUGAAUUAAACUGAACCAUCAGUGCAGUGGAUACUCUCAAAUACAAAGACAUUUGUCAAGUACUUCACUUUUCAGUUGUUUAUUUUUCUUGAUAAAUGCCAUAUGGUAUCUCUGAGAUGGAGUCUUGAGGAGAAAUGAACAACCUUUAGAGUUACAUGCAGAAGAAGUGAUUCACACAAGGAUGGAAGAUGACUGUGGAUCAAAGUAGGUAAAGGAAGGGGCGGAAAUAGUGAUUUGCCCUAAGAAAGCAUUUAGGGCCUUGUAUGAACCAUCACCUUUGUUACAUUAUGUAUGUACCACUACGAAGCUAAACACUGGAUAAGGCUGUUCCAUUACAUUAAAGCCGUGUCUGAUGGUCAGAACAGUAUCGCUCGUUGAUCCAACUGUGAGAGUGUGAGAAAGCCAGAGAUGGAAGGAGAAGUUUGAGUUUUGUACCAUCAGAGUACUACAGCUAACUUAUGAUUAUUUAUGUGAUUACAACAGUGUAGGAGCAAGCUCCAUUAAAUAUCCAAGAGUUGAAAUUGCACUUUCAUUAUGUAUAACUCAUGUCUUAGUGUUUUCUGGGUUCAUCUCUGCAGGGCUCUCUAGACAGGCCCAAACAUUUUUCCUAAAAUCACAUUAAUGAACACAAUCAAUUCUAAGAAAGGUAAUUGAAAAUGAAGGCUAUUGAUGGCAAUUGAAGUCAGAGCAAUACAGAAUUAAUGGUAAAUAAUGAAAUGUUGUGUCUCAGUUGUUUGGUGUUGCCCACAAACUUAAAUGUAACCUCAGAGCUUGUCUGUGUGUGGUUUCUGAACCUCAGUGGCUGAGAGGCAGCGAUGAAAAAAGGGGGUGGGGGCAAACAUGGACAAAUAAAUGUUCAAUUAUAAUUCAAUUUGAC